rfam:Schistosoma mattheei strain Denwood, Zambia genome assembly, scaffold: SMTD_scaffold0017883
AUCCAGGUGACGAGUCCCGAACGGGACGAAACGCGCAUCCUGAAU